rfam:Stegodyphus mimosarum contig29628, whole genome shotgun sequence.
GCCUUCGUGGUGUAGUGGUCAGCACGCUCGACGCGUAACCGAGAGGUCCGUGGUUCGAUUCCUGGCGAAGGCG